rnacentral:lncRNA from 1 species
ACAGCUCUUUAGCAGAUAUGCUUCAUUUUUUUUUAAAACAAUAACACUUUUAAAAACACAUUAAACCAAGAUCAUACAUGUCUACAAUUUAAAAAAUCAGAUUGUAUACAAUAGAAGAGUCAAGUUAGAAUUGUCAUGUAUGGUUAACAAUCCUAAAUCUACAAUUUCAAUUGUAUUCCUUUCAAUAUGGAAGUUACCUGGUUUAUACCAAAUUCUACUUUCUGUUCACAACUAAAACAUUAUACAAUGAGAUGGACUUGGUAAGUC